UACGUAGGGGGCAAGCGUUGUCCGGAUUUAUUGGGCGUAAAGAGCGUGUAGGCGGCCAUACAGGUCCGUUGUGAAAACUGGAGGCUUAACCUCCAGACGUCGAUGGAAACCGUAUGGCUAGAGUCUGGAAGAGGAGAGUGGAAUUCCUGGUGUAGCGGUGAAAUGCGCAGAUAUCAGGAGGAACACCGGUGGCGAAGGCGGGUCUCUGGGCCGUAACUGACGCUGAGGAGCGAAAGCGUGGGGAGCGAACAGG
rnacentral:rRNA from 1 species